CGGAGGAGGCUGGGCAGGAAAGCACAAAACAGGCAGCAACUCAUUUAGCCACCAGUCUCCUCUUCAGAGCCACGUUGCUGCACAAAACAAAACCCAGGCUCUGCAGACCAUCUCCUGCUCUCGCCGAUCGCAGCCUGCGAGGCUCGGCCCUGCUCUAUUAUCCGGCAGGAUGGACUUCCCAUUUCUCCAGCUUUAGCCUCAUGCGAGGCUGCUCUCCUCCUUCAAAAACUUCCAGAAACACGGCUUGCAGCUCCGACACCCCAGAUGGGCAUGUCCAGGGAUGGAGGGGAAGAUGAACAGAAAUGGCAUCCCCACAGUCCACAGCAAAGACCCUGGGACUGCCGGCGCCUGAUGCCUGCCCAGCACCCACUCCUCUGCAGCAGUGGGACAGAGGGACAGGACCCAUCCCCACGGGCAGAGCCCACUUCGCCCAGCUCUGCCAGCACAUCCCAGCAGAGCACGUGGCCAUGGCAGGGCUGACACAGUCCCUUCCCACUCGGCUCCGCAGGCGCCACCGCACACGGCUCAGCCCUAACGGGAUAACAAGCUCACAAUGAGAUCCUAAUGAAGGAUUAGCGAAAUACAGUUUAAAGAGAUUAAAGCUGGGUGCAGCACUGAAA